CUGAAGGAAAGAGACUAGCAAUAGUAGAAAUAUUAGUGUCUCCACCUUAAGCUGGGUAGGGAUAUCAAGGGAAGGAGGAGCUAGUGAGACUUGUAAAGGUCCCCCUAAGUGUUCUGCAGAAGCAGAGACUGGAGAAGAACCCAUCCAAGGCAGAAGCUUCCUCAAUCUGCAUUGCAACCUGCUGCACAGGAUGUUCUCACUUCAUGGAAGCUGGGUCUCUCUGUUUGCCCUUACCUGCAGCAUGGCUGUGUUCCUUCACUAUGCUGAGAGCUUACCAAAAAAACCCGAACCUCCUCCUGGUGAUGCAUCAUCAGAGGAGGUGAGGGCCUACCAGAAAGUACUGAGGGAAUAUCUCAACGAGGAAGCAAAAGAGAGAAUAAAGGUCAUGAUGGAGGACAUGCAGAAAAAGAUGGGAUGAAUCCUCCUAAAGGAAGUAGAAGCUGAAGAAUGAAACCACGACUUCUCCUUGAUUGUCCAGUGAUUGCAUCUUCCCGUGAUGGCAUUGUAGACUCCUCUGCUAAGGAGAUCAUAGAGUCCACCACUUCAGCCUCUUUUCUUUUCUAUCCAUUUGUUAAUCUGAUCAGAAUAAUAAAUCAAGAUGAAUCUUA